UAGGGAAUAUUGGACAAUGGGCGAAAGCCUGAUCCAGCCAUGCCGCGUGAGUGACGAAGGUCUUCGGAUUGUAAAACUCUUUUCUGAGGGAAGAACAUCUGGGUGAGGAAAUGCUCCCAGCUUGACGGUACCUCAGGAAUAAGGGACGGCUAACUCCGUGCCAGCAGCCGCGGUAAUACGGAGGUCCCAAGCGUUGUUCGGAAUUACUGGGCGUAAAGGGAGCGCAGGCGGACAGGUUAGUCUAAAGUGGAAGCCCGGGGCUCAACCUCGGAAGGUCUUUGGAUACUGCCUGUCUUGAGUUUGUCAGAGGAAAGCGGAAUUCAGGGUGUAGCGGUGAAAUGCUUAGAUAUCCUGAGGAACACCGAUGGCGAAAGCAGCUUUCUGGGACAUGACUGACGCUGAGGCUCGAAAGCGUGGGUAGCAAACGGG
rnacentral:rRNA from 1 species